rnacentral:lncRNA from 1 species
CCAGGUUCGGGCCCUCUUGAUGGAGGUAAAACCCUACUUCCUGCUUGAUUAAUAUUGAUGAUAUGGGUAGUACAAGAGUAGAUCUACCACGAGAUCGUAGAUGCUAAACCCUAAGAGCUAGCCUAUGAUGGUAUGAUUGUAAUUGUGAUCGACCUUCUAAGGACCAACCUCUCCGGUUUAUAUAGACACCGGAGAGGGAUAGGGUUUACAUGGAGUCGGUUACAAGGAAGGAAAUAUAAUAUCCGGAUCGCCAAGCUUGCCUUCCACGCAAAGGAGAGUCCCAUCCGGACACGGGCCGAAGUCUUGAGUCUUGUAUCUCCACGCUUCAAUAGUCCGGACGUUGUACACAGUCCGGCUGUCCGGAUACCCCCUAAUCCAGGACUCCCUCAGUAGCCCCUGAACCAGGCUUCAAUGACGAUGAGUCCAGCACGCAGUAUUGUCUUCGGCAUUGCAAGGCGGGUUCCUCCUCCGAAUACUCCAAAGUGGUUAUCGAACACGUAGGCCAUGUCUGGAUCUGCAAGAUGAUCUUCACAUGGUAUAGAUUUGAUUUUCUGGCAAUCUUCAUGCGUCGUGCCCUUGAAUCGUGGCUUGGUCCAACGCGAACCGACAUUUCCUACCCCACAACGACUCGUGUUACGAGGCGGUUUUAUAGGCAUGUCCCGUCAAGGCAGAGAUCGUGUCCCUUUAUUACGGGAUUUUCCAUCAAUAUGAGCGUGCGUGACCCCACCACGGCUGUUGGUAUAACCCUGUGUGUUUUUAGAUAAGCCUCAAACGGUCACACCGGGGACUCUUGAUAUUCACCUUCUUUAUAAAGGGGUCGAGACCUAUGCCUCUUUUUUCACCUUCAUCGCGCCUUCUCGCACCUCGAGUUCUAACACCCAAAACCUAAGCUCCACUCCUCCGGAAUCCUCCAAUAUGUCCGGAUCUGACCCUCAAGGCCGGUGGGUGGCCUCCUCGAUCGAAGAGAAGGACAUUGCAAAGCUUAGGGAGGUCGGAUACCUGACCGCAGAUAUCCAGCACAGGCUUCCUGCUCCAGGGCAGGUCAUCCCUACGCCGGAGCCCAAUGAGUGUGUUGUUUUCGUCCCACACUUCCUCCGCGGUUUGGGUUUUACCCUCAAUCCCUUCGUGAGGGGGCUCAUGUUCUAUUAUGGGUUGGAUUUUCAUGAUCUGGCUCCAGACGCUAUCCUCCAUAUCUCGUCGUUCAUUAUCAUGUGCGAGGCUUUUCUCCACAUCACCCCGCACUUCGGCUUAUGGCUCAAGACCUUUAACGUGAAGCCGAAGAUGAUAGGGGGGUGACAUGUGGAGUGCGGAGGUGCCGUAAUAAGCAGAAAUGCGGGCGCCCCAUAGCCGGAGGGUUCUUUCCCAGAAGUAUCUGAUGUAUGGCAGCGGAGGUGGUUUUAUGCUACGGCCCCAAGGGGCACAAAGUGGGUACCCACCCCUGAGUUCUGCUCGGGCCCUCCGUCGCAGUUGGCAUCCUGGACAGACGUAGGACGGAAUUGGGGGCCCGCAAGUGAUGUACCAAUACUGCAGAACCGCACCCGGGAGCUUCUCGAGAGGGAUAUUAACCUUGUCAGCAUAAUGCAAGUGAUGUUAAUCCGGCGGAUGUUGCCGUGCCAACGCCGGCCUCUCCGGAUGUGGGAGUUCAAUCCGGAGGGUCCGCGGACUGUCAAGCACUUCAUUGGCUUGAAGCCUGAAGAGAUGUGCAAGUUAUUCUUUGGACAGAAAGUAGUAUGUCCUGACACCACCGAGGAUGCGGGCCUAAGCUGCAAUCGCCUAGAUACCCAAGUAAGUAGCCUUGAUAUCGGACACCCUGUUUUGUAUUUAUCAUGACUGUUCGUUCUGACAAUCAUCCGUGUCCAGGAAUGGCUCAGCAAGGCGGAGAGAAUCAAGUGUCCGGCACCGCUUCCCGAAGGCUCGCCCGUCCCCACUAUGGCCAAGAUGCUUGACUGGGUACUCAGCAGAAUGCCCUCGGGGAAAGACAAGGGGAGGGAUGAAGAAUCCGAACCCCACACGCUACGCAUCCGAACCGGGGGAAUUGUUACCUCCCCCAGGGAGGAUUUUCAGGAAGGGGAGGCUAAGGCCUCCUCUCCGCGCGGGAAGAAGAGGGCCGCCGCCGAAGAUCUGGAGGCGGAGAUGCCCAAAUUAGGGAAAAAGACAUCCCUGGGGGGCCUUGCCUUGACGGGCACCCUCACCGCACCAUGCCCUCCAACGGGCCAGCCCUCCACCGAGAUGUAAGUCAAUUUAUGAUCCGAAGGUUCUGUGUUUCUCCUAGAUCAAUAACCAGGGUUCAACUUUUUCCAAUCCGGCUAGCAGCUCCUCUCAACAGGGUUCGUCUUCGGGGGCCCUUCCUCCGGAGAUGAUAGAAAGCGAAACCCCACCCCCUUCUCCGACUCAUGAAGCAGGCGACGCCGAGGUGUCGUCACGGAGGGGUCCGAAUCUGCCGAAACCGGAAGUCAAUCCGUCAGCCGCCCUGCACCCGGAGCAUUUGGCUACAAUGAGGGGCGAUGGAAGGAGUCCGGCGCAGUUUGAUGUCCGGCCAGACAUACUGAUGGGCUUGCUGGAGCGAGCUGUGCUCUCGGAGGAGCACCGCUCAUUAAUGAGCGCGGUGCUCAAGAAGAUUUCAUCCGCUACAAGCGGUUUGAAUGAAGCAUUCACAAGCCUACUCGGAGGCUUUGAGGUACGUAAUGAAGAGUGCACUAUUUCUUUGGCUGUGAGGCAUGCGGUAGGCGUGCUCCAUAUAGAUGGUAGCCCCUGAGACUCUGGUUGACUACCCUAGGCAGCAAAUGAAGGGUCAUAAACCAAUGAUUUAUGUUGUAAAUAUGUGCAGUUACCUGUGGGUCCGGCCGCUGGUUCGGUUGAUGCCCAUAUCACUCUGAUGAAUGAGCAGCUGGAUAAAUCACAAGGUAUGUGUCCUGUAUUUCCAUUGCAUAGGAAACUAUUAAGGCGGCACAUAGUAAUGUAAUAUGUUUGGACUGCAGAUGGUGCUGCUGCCGUGGAGGCCCUGAGGGCGGAACUUGCUCUAGCCAAGGAACAGGCUCGGGUGAGCAAUGCGGCUGCCCUAAAGGCGGCCGAGGAAUUGAGAGACGAACAGGCUGCUCAUCGCCGAAGCGAGGAAAAGAUAGCCAAAAUGGCUAUCAAGUUAAAAAAUGCCGCUGACCGGUAUGAGCUCCUAAAAAAGGAGCAUGAGGAUAAAUCAGCUGACCUGAGCAAGGAACUUAAUGCCACCAAGGAAAUACGGACCGAGCUCAGAGGUGCGCGGGAGGAGCUUCAACAGGCCGGUAAAAUCGCGGCUGGAGGCUCCUAUUUGCUGCGGACGAAGUUCCUCGAUCCGAAGUACGCUCCCCUUGAUGGACGCUGGAGUUCGGCGGACGCAUACGCGGACCUGGCGAAGAGUACGGCUGAUGCUGUGGAGUUCUUCAAAGAUCAGGGUUAGAAGGAGGUGGAGAAGCUUUUCUGGUCGCAGUUCAAUGCUCCGACACGCCCACUGCCAUUAAGUGAUAAAAUGGCUGUUGUAGCAGAGCUUCACAGGCUAUCCGGUCUUGCAAUGCGGUUUGUAAUAGACCAUCUUUGGCCAAAGGGGCCUAAGUCGGACAGUUACUUUGGUUUGGCGCAACAGCUCCUUGGGGCCGUGCCUCGGAUCGAGGCCAUGAGGAGGUCAGCAUGCAUAGAGGGUGCGCGGAUGUCCCUUGCUCGCGUUAAAGCGUAUUGGACGGAUAUGGAUGCCACUAUGAUAGCGUCUCAGGAUCCAGUGGAGGGCCAAUAUCCGGCCGGGCACUACUUGGCACAGGUCACAGAGGGUGCCCGCCUGAUAGAGGCGCAGUGCCCGAAGAAUCUCCUAUUCGAGUGAUGAUUCAAAUCAUUGUAAAAACAAUGUUUAUUUUGAUUAGAAGGUUAUAUUUAUAAUGUUUGUCUGAAAAUAUGAUUGUGUCCCCUGUGCGGCCGUUUACAUAUAUAUAUAUAUAUAGGAGUAGGAUUUUCUACAAUAGCUUGCCACGGAACUAGUUAAGGUUUUCAACGGUGUAAAAGUUCUCAAAAAUCCUGAAAAAAAUCCUGAACCAUCACACCUAUAAUAUAACAUGAUCCAACGGAUGGAUUGAAAAAAUUUGACUGCAUGUGUCCUGGACAAAAAGAACAAAUGUUUCAAUAUAUAUUGAUCCUGCAGUGAGCUGAAAUGCUUGUUUUUUCGCUGAGGACACAUAAAUGCAUAUUUUCACAAUCACACCGUUGGAUCAUCUUAUUAUAUUAGAAUGAGGCUCCCCUAUUUAUUUCAUAUUUUUUACUUACUUUUAAACCGUUAAAUGUUUACCAUGCCUUAACUAGUUCUGUGGCAAGCUAUGAUAGACACAGUUUUACCUAUAUAUAUAUAUAUAUAUAUAUAUAUAAAAUAUAUAUAUAUAUAUACACANNNNNNNNNNNNNNNNNNNNNNNNNNNNNNNNNNNNNNNNNNNNNNNNNNNNNNNNNNNNNNNNNNNNNNNNNNNNNNNNNNNNNNNNNNNNNNNNNNNNNNNNNNNNNNNNNNNNNNNNNNNNNNNNNNNNNNNNNNNNNNNNNNNNNNNNNNNNNNNNNNNNNNNNNNNNNNNNNNNNNNNNNNNNNNNNNNNNNNNNNNNNNNNNNNNNNNNNNNNNNNNNNNNNNNNNNAUAUAUACACAUGUGUGUGUGUGUUGGGGGGGGGGGGUAAUCCGAAAGUUAGCAGUCGUUGGCUUCAGCCCCCAUGCAUACAAUGCGGGGGUGUUCGCGAAAAAAUGUGCUUAAUCACUCUUUAUCCAACAUCUUGGUCCGGCAAGGAGGUGAUCGCACAUCGAACUAGGCAACCGGACUAUAUAGCUGUAACACUUUCACUUAGCUGCGGGAUUCUAACGUUGGGGCUACUAUGUAGCCCCUGGUACCUUCGCGUGCAUCCGAAUACGGGCGCGUAUGUACCUGGCCGGAAAUGGCCCUUCAUUAAUGCGGAGGAAUCCUAGAGAUUCCAGUGAGUCGUCGAGUGGUUGACCAGUCUCUUGCUGUAUCAUGACAGUCAGUUUUCGGCUUUCUCUACUGAGGUGCUCAUCCGGAAUAACCAUGGCACAAUCUCAGAAGUUCUCCUUUGGCUACCUUAGCCGAUUAUAACGGAACGUAAGGCGGGAAACCCAGGAGUCGGGCAAACCCAACAUUUGACCAAAGACAUGAUUCGGAGCUGAUGCAUAUAAGGCCAAACUCAUGACGCCGAACACUCCCGAAGGUAUUCGGAUUUUAUAACAGAUGAUGGGCUCAAGAAUGCCCAUUCAUUAUAAACCCUGCAUUUCUAGGUACGUGCGUUAAUCUGUCGUGGCGAAAUGCCAAAAACGGCAGUAUCCUCUAUGGGUAUGGAACCCAUGGGAUGAUUAAACAACAAGAGGCAAUAGAAAAGGUUUACACAGGGGCUUAAUCUAAAAAGAAACCUGUUGACGGGGCCCUGCUGCACGUCUGCGCCUUUGUCUCCGUUGUGCCGCAUCCUGGAAGGGUAUCGAGCGAACGUUGUUUGCGGAAAAGGGAAACUCAUAGGAGAGUGCAACGUAAGUAUGCGAUGGAUAGUAAACAAUGUAAGAUGCUUGUCUGCCGAUAAGGUUGAGCCAAGUGUGGGGCUUUAUAUUAGCCCCUGGUGUCCACUAUAGGAUUACAUAUACAAUGCCCUGGUUUGAUAUGGGCUGCCGGACUCGUCUAGCCGUGUCCGUGGUCUUAACGACCCGUCAUAUUUUUGUUAGAGGCCGCUAGGGCCGUCGCAUAUUCCUCUGCGCACAAAGAGCACUCUGUUAUUCCGCUAACGGUGAUGACGCUGCGUGGACCGGGCAUCUUAAGUGUAAGGUAGCCAUAGUGCGGCAAUGCGUUGAAGCGGGCGAAGGCCGUUCUUCCAAGCAAUGCUUGAUAGCUGCUUUGGAAGGGUGUGAUGAUGAAGACUAGUUCUUCGCUUCUGGAGUUGCCUGGAGAGCCGAAUGUUACCUCCAAUAUAACAGAGCCCCUGCUGUAGGCUUCAACGCCUGGUAUCACCCCUUCAAAGGUGGUGUUAAUCUUGCUGAUUCUGGAUGAGUCUAUCCCCAUCCUAUGGACAGUGUCCUCAUAUAUUAAAUUGAGACUGUUGCCGCCGUCCAUGAGGACAUGAGUGAGAUGGUAUCCGUCGAUUAUUGGGUCAAGCACCAAGGUGUUUGAUCCUUCGCGCCGAAUACUAGUUCGGCCGUCCCGACGAUCGAAAGUGAUCGAACAAGACAUCUAGUAGUUAGGUGUGGGUACGAUGGGCUCUAUAUCGCGUGCGUCUUUAUGUGCGCGUUCGUGCCUUCCCAAGGAUGUGCGAGUCAUGUGGAUCAUGUUCACUGUUUUAACCUCUGGCGGGAAUUUUUUCUAUCCCCCAGUGUUCGGCUGGCGAGGUUUAUCCUCGUCUUCACUUCAUGUUUCCCUUCCCUUGGGUUCGGCGUUUAGUUUGCGGGCCUGCUUGAAGACCCAGCACUCUCUGUGCGUGUGGUUCGCAGGUUUGUCGGGGGUGCCAUGAAUUUGGCAUAGUCUGUCCAGAACUCUGUUCAGACCGGACGGUCCCUCUUUACUGCCUUUAGAUUGCUUAUUUUGCUGGUUAGGUCGAGAGCCCCUGAAUCCGGCAUUAACCGUUGUGUUGUCCGGGCUCUCUUCCUUGUUUUGGCGUUUGUUUUUAUUACGCCGUGGCUUCCCGUUGCCAUCCCUUAUUUCGGAUGUGCUGGGGUCGCUGGUGCCUUUACGGGCUAGCCAGCUAUCUUCACCCGCGCAAAAGUAGGUCAUAAGGCUUGUUAGGGCUGCCAUUGUCCUAGGCUUUUCUUGGCCGAGGUGUCUGGCGAGGCACUCGUCACGGAUGCUAUGUUUGAAUGCCGCUAGGGCUUCGGCAUCUGGACAACCAACAAUUUGAUUCUUCCUAGUGAGGAAUCUGUUCCAAAGGUUGCGGGCGGACUCUCCAGGUUGUUGGAUUAUGUGACUUAAAUCGUCAGCAUCUGGAGGCCGGACAUAAGUCCCUUGGAAAUUGGCCCUGAAAGCGUCCUCUAGUUUCUCCCAUCUCCCAAUUGAAUUUUCGGGGAGGCUUUUCAACCAGUGCCGAGCUGAUCCCUUCAGUUUGAGGGGAAGGUAUUUGAUGGCGUGGAGGUCAUCCCCACGAGCCAUGUGUAUGUGCAGGAUGAAGUCCUCGAUCCAGACCCCCGGGUCUGUAGUUCCGUCGUAUGCCUCUAUGUUCAUAGGUUUAAAGCCCUGCGGGAAUUCAUGGUCCAGUACUUUGUCAGUAAAGCAUAGGGGGUGAGCAGCCCCUCUGUAUCUGGACGCGCUAUGGCAUGCUGUCGGCUGUUGUUGUGUUCGGUGUUUAUUUCGAACUGGUGUUUGGUUGUCAUAAUUGUUUUGACGACCACAGUCCCCCGCCGGGGUGUGUCCUUUAGAUUUGUAGAUGGACCUAGCUGCGCCAACUUUCUUAUCCAGGUGCUCAUGUAGAUCGUGGGCGUCUUCGGUAGUUGAUUUAUUGCGGUUAUGAAGUGGUACGUCUGGUCUCCUGAUCGUGUUACUCUUUGCUGGAAUGGUCUCGCCGUCAAAUUCCGGCAGUAGCUUACGUUUUGGGUAGCUCUUUGUGUGGCGAUCGUCACCAUAUCUUUCUUCAGUGUCCAGCACUUUGUUCCAUCUGUGAUUGAGCGUUUCCUGUGCGGCUUUAAGCCAUUGCUUCUGCCUCUUCAGACUUCUCGCUAUGGCCAUAAGCUUUCUAUGGAGGUUCUCUCGUUCCACGCGUUCUUCCGGAAUGACGAAUGCAUCAUCGUCCGGACUAUCUUCAUGUCUUGGGCCGGUUUGAUGAACUCGUCCCUCUGGAUCAUUGUCUUCGGGCGUCUGCUCCGAACUAUGCUCGACAUGACCUGGUUCGUCCUGCUCCAUCAUCGGUUCCGUUUGGUCGUUGUUGCCUUCGGGGUUGACCAGAGUAUCCAUUCUCCUGGCGCUCUUGCUGAUAUUGUUACUGUUGCCGGAUUUGGAACGGCGUCUACGCCGUUGCUUCAGUUUUUGCCCAGGGGUGUUAUCUUCCAGAUUGUCACCGUCGCCUUCCUUGGGCGUAUGUGUUGGGGAACGUUGCAGAAAAUUAAAAUUUUUCCUACGGCUUCACCAAGAUCCAUCUAUGAGUUCAUCUAAGCAACGAGCAACGGGAGAGAGAUUGCAUCUACAUACCACUUGUAGAUCGCGUGCGGAAGCUUGCAAGGUGAUGAUGGAGUCGUACUCGAACGUGAUUCUGAUCACCGAUGUCCAAGUGCUGAACGGACAGCACCUCCGCGUUCAACACACGUACGGGACGGGCAACGUCUCCUCCGUCUUGAUCCAGCAAGGAGGAAGGAGAGGUUGAGGAAGACAGCUCCACCGACAGCACGACGGCGUGGUGAUGGUGGAGAAGCAGUACUCCGACAGGGCUUCGCCGAGCGCACAACGGAGGAGGAGAGGUGUUGGGGAGGGGAGGGCUGCGCCUUGGCUUGGGUGCGGCUGCCCUCCCCUCACCCCUCUAUUUAUAGGGGGAAGGGAGAAGGGGGCCGGCCCCUCUAGAUUCCAUCUAGGGGGGGGCGGCCAAGGGGAGGGGGGACUUGCCCCCCAAGCAAGGGGGGGGCGCCCCCUCUAGGGUUCCCCCCUCAACCCUAGGCGCAAGGGCCCAGGGGAGGGGUGCGCCAAGCCCACCAGGGGCUAGCCACCUCCCCACGCAGCCCAAGUGGCCCCCCGGGAGGGGUGGCCCCUCCCGGUGGACCCCCGGAACCCUUCCGGUGGCCCCGGUACAAUACCGGUAUGCCCCCAAAACUUUCCGGUGUCCUUUUAACAACUUCCCAUAUAUAAAUCUUUACCUCCGGACCCUUCCGGAACUCCUCGUGGCGUCCGGGAUCUCAUCCGGGACUCCGAACAACAUUCGGUAGUCACGUACUAGUCUUCCUAAUAACCCUAGCGUCACCAAACCUUAAGUGUGUAGACCCUACGGGUUCGGGAGACACGCAGACAUGACCGAGACGACUCUCGGGCAAUAACCAACAGCGGGGUCUGGAUACCCAUGUUGGCUCCCACAUGCUCCUCGAUGAUUUCAUCGGUUGAACCACGAUGUCGAGGAUUCGAUCAAACCCUGUAUGCAAUUCCCUUUGUCAGUCGGUACGUUACUUGCCCGAGACUCGAUCGUCGGUAUCCCAAUACCUUGUUCAGUCUCGUUACUGGCAAGUCACUUUACUCGUACCGUAAUGCAUGAUCCCGUGGCCAACACCUUGGUCACAUUGAGCUCAUUAUGAUGAUGCAUUACCGAGUGGGCCCAGAGAUACCUCUCCGUCAUACGAAGUGACAAAUCCCAGUCUCGAUCCGUGUCAACCCAACAGAUACUUUCGGAGAUACCUGUAAUGCACCUUUAUAGUCACCCAGUUACGUUGUGACGUUUGAUACACCCAAGGCACUCCUACGGUAACCGGGAGUUACACGAUCUCAUGGUCGAAGGAAGAGAUACUUGACAUUGGCAAAGCUUCUAGCAAACGAACUAUACGAUCUUUUAUGCUAUGCUUAGGAUUGGGUCUUGUCCAUCACAUCAUUCUCCUAAUGAUGUGAUCCCGUUAUCAACGACAUCCGAUGUCCAUAGUCAGGAAACCAUGACUAUCUAUUGAUCACAACGAGCUAGUCAACUAGAGGCUCACUAGGGACAUAUUAUGGUCUAAGUGUUCACACGUGUAUUACGAUUUCCGGAUAAUACAGUUAUAGCAUGAACAAAAGACAAUUAUCAUGAACAUUGAAAUAUAAUAAUACUUUUAUUAUUGCCUCUAGGGCAUAUUUCCAACAGUCUCCCACUUGCACUAGAGUCACCAAUCUAGUUACAUUGUGAUGAAUCGAACACCCAUAGAGUUCUGGUGUUGAUCAUGUUUUGCACGCGAGAGAGGUUUAGUCAACGGAUCUGCGACAUUCAGAUCCGUGUGCACUUUGCAAAUCUCUAUGUCUCCAUCUUGAACAUUUUCACAGAUGGAGUUGAAACGACGCUUGAUGUGCCUGGUCUUCUUGUGAAACCUGGGCUCCUUGGCAAGGGCAAUAGCUCCAGUGUUGUCACAGAAGAGUUUGAUCGGCCCCGACGCAUUGGGUAUGACUCCUAGGUCGGUGAUGAACUCCUUCACCCAAAUCGCUUCAUGCGCUGCCUCCGAGGCUGCCAUGUACUCCGCUUCACACGUAGAUCCCGCCACGACGCUUUGCUUGCAGCUGCACCAGCUUACUGCUCCACCAUUCAACAUAUAUACGUAUCCGGUUUGUGACUUAGAGUCAUCCAGAUCUGAGUCGAAGCUAGCGUCGACGUAACCCUUUACGACGAGCUCUUCGUCUCCUCCAUAAACGAGAAACAUGUCCUUUGUCCUUUUCAGGUACUUCAGGAUAUUCUUGACCGCUGUCUAGUGUUCCUUGCCGGGAUUACUUUGGUAUCUUGCAACCAAACUUACGGCAAGGUUUACAUCGGGUCUGGUACACAGCAUGGCAUACAUAAUAGAUCCUAUGGCUGAAGCAUAGGGGAUGACACUCAUCUCUUCUUUAUCUUUUGACGUGGUCGGUGACUGAGCCGAGCUCAAUCUCACACCUUGUAACAUAGGCAAGAACCCCUUCUUGGACUGAUCCAUUUUGAACCUCUUCAAAAUCUUAUCAAGGUAUGUGCUUUGUGAAAGACCUAUGAGGCAUCUCGAUCUAUCUCUAUAGAUCUUGAUCCCUAAUAUAUAAGCAGCUUCUCCAAGGUCCUUCAUUGAAAAACACUUGUUCAAGUAGGCCUUAAUGCCGUCCAGAAGUUUCGUAUCAUUUCCCAUCAAGAGUAUGUCAUCUACAUAUAACAUGAGAAAUGCUACAGAGCUCCCACUCACUUUCUUGUAAACGCAGGCUUCUCCAUAAGUCUGCAUAAACCCAAACGCUUUGAUCAUCUCAUCAAAGCGAAUGUUCCAACUCCGAGAUGCUUGCACCAGUCCAUAAAUGGAUCGCUGGAGCUUGCAUACUUUGUUAGCGUUCUGAGGAUCGACAAAACCUUCCGGCUGCAUCAUAUACAGCUCUUCCUUAAGAUGUCCGUUAAGGAAUGCCGUUUUGACGUCCAUCUGCCAUAUCUCAUAAUCAUAGUAUGCGGCAAUUGCUAACAUGAUUCGGGUGGACUUCAGCUUCGCUACGGGAGAGAAUGUCUCGUCUUAGUCAAUCCCUUGAACUUGUCGAUAACCCUUAGCGACAAGUCGAGCUUUAUAGAUGGUAACAUUACCAUCCGCGUCCGUCUUCUUCUUAAAAAUCCAUUUAUUUUCUAUCGCUCGCCGAUCAUCGGGCAAGUCUAUCAAAGUCCAUACUUUGUUUUCAUACAUGGAUUCUAUCUCGGAUUUCAUGGCCUCAAGCCAUUUGUUGGAAUCCGGGCCCGCCAUCGCUUCUUCAUAGUUCGAAGGUUCAUUGUUGUCUAACAACAUGAUUUCCAUGACAGGGUUGCCGUACCACUCUGGUGCGGAACGUGUCCUCGUGGACCUUUGAAGUUCAGUAGCAACUUGAUCCGAAGUACCUUGAUCAUCAUCAUUGUUUUCCUCUUCAGUUGGUGUGGGCAUCACAGGAACGGUUUCCUGCGCUGCAUCACCUUCCCGUUCGAGAGGUAGUACUUCAUCGAGUUCUACUUUCCUCCCACUUACUUCUUUCGAGAGAAACUCUUUCUCCAGAAAGCAUCCGUUCUUGGCAACAAAGAUCUUGCCUUCGGAUCUUAAGUAGAAGGUAUACCCGACAGUUUCCUUAGGGUAUCCUAUGAAUACGCAUUUUUUCGACUUGGGUUCGAGCUUUUCAGGUUGAGGUUUCUUGACAUAAGCAUCGCAUCCCCAAACUUUUAGAAACGACAGCUUAGGUUUCUUUCCAAACCAUAAUUCAUACGGUGUCGUCUCAACGGAUUUAGACGGUGCCCUAUUUAAACUGAAUGUAGCUGUCUCUAGAGCGUAUCCCCAAAAUGACAGCGGUAAAUCGGUAAGAGACAUCAUAGACCGCACCAUAUCCAAUAGAGUGCGAUUACGACGUUUGGACACACCGUUUCGUUGAGGUGUUCCAGGCGGCGUGAGUUGUGAAACGAUUCCACAUUUUCUUAAGUGUGUACCAAAUUCGUGACUUAAGUAUUCUCCUCCACGAUCUGAUCGUAGGAACUUUAUCUUUCGGUCACGUUGAUUCUCCACCUCACUCUGAAAUUCCUUGAACUUUUCAAAGGUCUCAGACUUGUGUUUCAUUAAGUAGACAUACCCAUAUCGACUCAAGUCAUCAGUGAGAGUGAGAACAUAACGAUAUCCUCCGCGAGCCUCAACGCUCAUUGGACCGCACACAUCGGUAUGUAUGAUUUCCAACAAGUUGGUUGCUCGCUCCAUUGUUCCGGAGAACGGAGUCUUGGUCAUUUUGCCUAAGAGGCAUGGUUCGCAUGUGUCAAACGAUUCAUAAUCAAGAGACUCUAAAAGUCCAUCAGUAUGGAGCUUCUUCAUGCGCUUGACACCAAUUUGACCAAGACGGCAGUGCCACAAGUAUGUGGGACUAUCGUUAUCAACUUUACAUCUUUUGGCAUCCACACUAUGAACAUGUGUAACAUUACGCUCGAGAUUCAUUAAGAAUAAACCAUUGACCAUCGGAGCAUGACCAUAAAAUAUAUCUCUCAUAUAAAUCGAACAACCAUUAUUCUCAGACUUAAAUGAGUAGCCAUCUCGUAUUAAACGAGAUCCAGAUACAAUGUUCAUGCUCAAACAUGGCACUAAAUAACAAUUAUUAAGGUUCAAAACUAAUCUCGUAGGUAAAUGUAGAGGCAGCGUGCCGACGGCGAUCACAUCGACUCUGGAACCAUUCCCGACGCGCAUCGUCACCUCGUCCUUUGCCAGUCUCCGUUUAUUCCGCAGCUCCUGCUGUGAGUUACAAAUAUGAGCAACGGCACCGGUAUCAAAUACCCAGGAGUUACUACGAGUACUGGUAAGGUACACAUCAAUUACAUGUAUAUCAAAUAUACCUUUGGUGUUGCCGGCCUUCUUAUCCGCUAAGUAUUUGGGGCAGUUCCGCUUCCAGUGACCCUUCCCCUUGCAAUAAAAGCACUCAGUCUCAGGCUUGGGUCCAUUCUUGGACUUCUUCCCGGCAACUGGCUUACCGGGCGCGGCAACAUCUUUGCCGUCCUUCUUGAAGUUCUUCUUACCCUUGCCCUUCUUGAACUUAGUGGUCUUAUUGACCAUCAACACUUGAUGUUCUUUCUUGAUUUCAGCCUCUGCUGACUUCAGCAUCGAGAACACUUCAGGAAUGGUCUUUACCAUCCCCUGCAUGUUGUAGUUCAUCACAAAGCUCUUGUAGCUUGGUGGGAGCGACUGGAGGAUUCUGUCAAUGACCGCCUCAUCUGGGAGGUUUAUGUUCAGCUGGGUCAUACGGUUGUGCAACCCAGACAUCUUCAGGAUGUGCUCACUGACAGAACUGUUUUCCUCCAUCUUACAACUAUAGAACUUGUCGGAGACAUCAUAUCUCUCGACCCGGGCAUGAGCUUGGAAAACUAGUUUCAGCUCUUCAAACAUCUCAUAUGCUCCGUGGUGCUCAAAACGCUUUUGGAGCCCCGGUUCUAAGCUGUAAAGCAUGCCGCACUGAACGAGGGAGUAAUCAUCAGCACGAGCUUGCCAAGCGUUCAUAACGUCUUGGUUCUCUGGGACGGGAGCGUCACCUAGCGGUCCUUCUAGGACAUAUUGCUUCCUGGCAGCUAUGAGGAUGAUCCUCAGGUUCCGGACCCAGUCCGUAUAGUUGCUGCCAUCAUCUUUCAGCUUGGUUUUCUCUAGGAACGCGUUGAAGUUCAUGUUGACAUUAGCGUUGGCCAUUGAUCUACAAGACAUAUUUGCAAAGGUUUUAGACUAAGUUCAUGAUAAUAAAGUUCUAAUCAAAUUAUGAACUCCCACUUAGAUUAGACAUCCCUCUAGUCAUCUAAGUGUUACACGAUCCGAAUCGACUAGCCCGUGUCCGAUCAUCACGUGAGACGGACUAGUCAUCGUCAGUGAACAUCUUCAUGUUGAUCGUAUCUUCCAUACGACUCGUGUUCGACCUUUCGGUCUCCGUGUUCCGAGGCCAUGUCUGCACAUGCUAGGCUCGUCAAGUUAACCCUAAGUGUUUUCGCUGUGUAAAACUGUCUUACACCCGUUGUAUGUGAACGUAAGAAUCCAUCACACCCGAUCAUCACGUGGUGCUUAGAAGCGACGAAAUGUAGCAACGGUGCACAGUUAGGGGAGAACACUUCUUGAAAUUUUGUAAGGGAUCAUCUUAUUUACUACCGUCAUCCUAAGUAAACAAGAUGUAAAAGCAUAAUAAACAUCACAUGCAAUUAUAUAUUUGUGACAUGAUAUGGCCAAUAUCAUAAAGCUCCAUUGAUCUCCAUCUUCGGGGCUCCAUGAUCAUCUUGUCACCGGCUUGACACCAUGAUCUCCAUCAUCAUGAUCUCCAUCAUCGUGUCUUCAUGAAGUUGUCACACCAACGACUACUUCUACUUCUAUGACUAACGCGUUUAGCAAUGAAGUAAAGUAGUUUACAUGGCGUUCUUCAAUGACACGCAGGUCAUACAAAAAAUAAAGACAACUCCUAUGGCUCCUGCCGGUUGUCAUACUCAUCGACAUGCAAGUCGUGAAUCCUAUUACAAGAACAUGAUCUCAUACAUCACAAUUCAUCAUUCAUCACAACUUCUGGCCAUAUCACAUCACAUGAUCAAUCGCUGCAAAAACAAGUUAGACGUCCUCUAAUUGUUGUUGCAUCUUUUACGUGGCUGCGAUUGGGUUCUAGCAAGAACGUUUUCUUACCUACGAAUCACCACAACGUGAUUUUGUCAACUUCUAUUUACCCUUCAUAAGGGCCUUGUUCAUCGAAUCCGCUCCAACUAAAGUGGGAGAGACAGACACCCGCCAGCCACCUUAUGCAACUAGUGCAUGUCAGUCGGUGGAACCGGUCUCACGUAAGCGUACGUGUAAGGUUGGUCCGGGCCGCUUCAUCCCACAAUACCGUUGAGCAAGAAAAGACUAGUAGAGGCAAGUAAGAUGACAAGAUCAACGCCCACAACAAAUUGUGUUCUACUCGUGCAUUAGAGAACUACGCAUAGACCUAGCUCAUGAUGCCAUUGUUGGGGAACGUUGCAGAAAAUUAAAAUUUUUCCUACGGCUUCACCAAGAUCCAUCUAUGAGUUCAUCUAAGCAACGAGCAACGGGAGAGAGAUUGCAUCUACAUACCACUUGUAGAUCGCGUGCGGAAGCUUGCAAGGUGAUGAUGGAGUCGUACUCGAACGUGAUUCUGAUCACCGAUGUCCAAGUGCUGAACGGACAGCACCUCCGCGUUCAACACACGUACGGGACGAGCGACGUCUCCUCCGUCUUGAUCCAGCAAGGAGGAAGGAGAGGUUGAGGAAGACAGCUCCACCGGCAGCACGACGGCGUGGUGAUGGUGGAGAAGCAGUACUCCGACAGGGCUUCGCCGAGCGCACAACGGAGGAGGAGAGGUGUUGGGGAGGGGAGGGCUGCGCCUUGGCUUGGGUGCGGCUUCCCUCCCCUCACCCCUCUAUUUAUAGGGGGAAGGGAGAAGGGGGCCGGCCCCUCU